CCCGCAGCAAUGCGGGAGCGACCGGCGCACGGGUGCGUAACGCGUAUGUAACCUGCCCUCAGCAGGGGGAUAGCCCGUGGAAACAUGGAUUAAUACCCCAUAAAGCAGGGGUGUCGCAUGGCACUAUUUGCUAAAGUUUCGAGCAAUCGAUAUGGCUGAGGAUGGGCAUGCGUCUGAUUAGCUAGUUGGUAGGGUAACGGCCUACCAAGGCUACGAUCAGUAGGGGAUCUGAGAGGAUGAUCCCCCACACUGGUACUGAGAUACGGACCAGACUCCUACGGGAGGCAGCAGUAGGGAAUAUUGGGCAAUGGGCGAAAGCCUGACCCAGCCAUGCCGCGUGCAGGAUGAAGGCCUUCUGGGUUGUAAACUGCUUUUCUACGGGAAGAAACGCUCUCUGCGGGGAGAAUUGACGGUACCGUAGGAAUAAGCACCGGCUAACUCCGUGCCAGCAGCCGCGGUAAUACGGAGGGUGCAAGCGUUGUCCGGAUUUACUGGGUUUAAAGGGUGCGUAGGUGGAUUGUUAAGUCAGUGGUGAAAGCCUGCGGCUUAACCGCAGAAGUGCCAUUGAUACUGGCAAUCUUGAGUGUAGUGGAGGUAGGC
rnacentral:rRNA from 1 species